GCCCGGUUAGCUCAAUCGGUAGAGCGUGAGACUCUUACGUGUGCUCGAAAUCUCAAGGUUGCGGGUUCGACCCCCGCAUCGGGCU